CGUAGGUAAUCUACCUUCGGGUGGGGAAGUAACCCAGGGAAACUUGGGCUAACACCGCAUAAUGCAGCGGCACCACAUGGUGACAGUUGUUAAAGCGGGGGAUUUUAGGACCUCGCGCCUGAAGAGGAGCCUGCGGCGGAUUAGCUAGUUGGUGAGGUAACGGCUCACCAAGGUAACGAUCCGUAGCCGGCCUGAGAGGGCGGUCGGCCACACUGACACUGACAUACGGGUCAG
rnacentral:rRNA from 1 species